rnacentral:tRNA from 1 species
UCCUGUUUAGAUCAGUUGGUAGAGCACUCCACUGGAAAUGGAGUGCUCCCUGGUUUGUUUCCAGGACCAGGCG